rnacentral:rRNA from 1 species
GACGAACGCUGGCGGCGUGCUUAACACAUGCAAGUCGAACGGAAAGGCCCUGCUUUUGUGGGGUGCUCGAGUGGCGAACGGGUGAGUAACACGUGAGUAACCUGCCCUUGACUUUGGGAUAACUUCAGGAAACUGGGGCUAAUACCGGAUAGGAGCUCCUGCUGCAUGGUGGGGGUUGGAAAGUUUCGGCGGUUGGGGAUGGACUCGCGGCUUAUCAGCUUGUUGGUGGGGUAGUGGCUUACCAAGGCUUUGACGGGUAGCCGGCCUGAGAGGGUGACCGGACAAAUUGGGACUGAGAGACGGCCCAGAAUACUACGGGAGGCAGCAGUGGGGAAUAUUGCACAAUGGGCGGAAGCCUGAGGCAGCAACGCCGCGUGCGGGAUGACGGCCUUCGGGUUGUAAACCGCUUUAGCCUGUGACGAAGCGUGAGUGACGGUAAUGGGUAAAGAAGCACCGGCUAACUACGUG